ACGCACGCUGGCGGCGUGCUUCACACAUGCAAGUCGAGCGGUAAGGCUCCUUCGGGAGUCCACGAGCGGCGAACGGGUGAGUAACACGUGAGUAAUCUGCCCUUCACUUCGGGAUAACCACCGGAAACGGUGGCUAAUACCGAAUACGACCAGUCUUCGCAUGAGGUGCUGGUGGAAAGUCUUUUCGGUGAAGGAUGUGCUCGCGGCCUAUCAGCUUGUUGGUGGGGUAAUGGCCUACCAAGGCUUCGACGGGUAGCCGGCCUGAGAGGGUGACCGGCCACACUGGGACUGAGACACGGCCCAGACUCCUACGGGAGGCAGCAGUGGGGAAUAUUGGACAAUGGGCGAAAGCCUGAUCCAGCAACGCCGCGUGAGGGAUGACGGCCUUCGGGUUGUAAACCUCGUUCAGUACCGACGAAGCGCCCUGUCGGGUGGUGACGGUAGGUACAGAAGAAGGACCGGCCAACUACGUG
rnacentral:rRNA from 1 species